CCCAUCUCAGGAUCCUCACCCGGAGAGUUUCCAGUAUUCUACCAGUCUUGGCUGUGGGAGGGAGAGUCAAGCAGAGGCAUACCCAUUCCAUUCCUAGCUUGAGCAAUGGCUAGCAAGUGGAAGCCAAUCUGCUACAAGU